rnacentral:rRNA from 1 species
UACGUAGGAUGCUAGCGUUUGUCCGGAUUUACUGGGCGUAAAGCGCGCGCAGGCGGCACUGUAAGUAAGGUGUGAAAUCUCCCUGCUCAACGGGGAGGGUGCACUUUAGACUGCAGAGCUAGAGGACGGUAGAGGGGGUGGAAUUGCUGGUGUAGCGGUGAAAUGCGUAGAGAUCAGCAGGAACACCCGUGGCGAAGGCGGCCCCCUGGGCCGAACCUGACGCUGAGGCGCGAAGGCUAGGGGAGCGAACGGG